UGUCGCUCUCCUCCCGAGCGGCCCUCUCUGGAGCUCCCGAACGUCACGCGAUCGCCUCCUCUCGCGAAUGGUCGAUCUGUUUUCUCCCCUUGCAGCGCGGGCAACUUGUAAGUCUCCUCUCCUCUCUGGCGAUGGAUAAUCUCCGUUCAUCUUCCUCACAAGAUCUUUUGUUCUGAGUUGUGUCCCCAUUCCAGACCACGAUAUUUCUUGUCCGUUUUUCAUUGACCAGGGUGGUCUAGAAUUCUUUAAACCGUGAUGGAUGAUUCUAUUGGUUUCACUGAUCGAAGAAAUUAGCUGAUCCGGGAGGGAGGUGUUGAUUUUGUGCUAUCCUACCAAGUUUCACAGAAAAUUAUGUAAAGAACU